GAUGAACGCUGGCGGCGUGCCUAAUACAUGCAAGUCGAGCGAACAGACGAGGAGCUUGCUCCUUUGACGUUAGCGGCGGACGGGUGAGUAACACGUGGGUAACCUACCUAUAAGACUGGGAUAACUUCGGGAAACCGGAGCUAAUACCGGAUAAUAUUUCGAACCGCAUGGUUCGAUAGUGAAAGAUGGCUUUGCUAUCACUUAUAGAUGGACCUGCGCCGUAUUAGCUAGUUGGUAAGGUAACGGCUUACCAAGGCAACGAUACGUAGCCGACCUGAGAGGGUGAUCGGCCACACUGGAACUGAGACACGGUCCAGACUCCUACGGGAGGCAGCAGUAGGGAAUCUUCCGCAAUGGGCGAAAGCCUGACGGAGCAACGCCACGUGAGUGAUGAAGGUCUUCGGAUCGUAAAACUCUGUUAUUAGGGAAGAACAAACGUGUAAGUAACUGUGCACGUCUUGACGGUACCUAAUCAGAAAGCCACGGCUAACUACGUG
rnacentral:rRNA from 1 species